rnacentral:rRNA from 1 species
AACGAACGCUGGCGGCAGGCUUAACACAUGCAAGUCGAGCGCCCCGCAAGGGGAGCGGCAGACGGGUGAGUAACGCGUGGGAAUCUACCCAUCUCUACGGAAUAACGCAUGGAAACGCGUGCUAAUACCGUAUACGUCCUUCGGGAGAAAGAUUUAUCGGAGAUGGAUGAGCCCGCGUUGGAUUAGCUAGUUGGUGGGGUAAAGGCCUACCAAGGCGGCGAUCCAUAGCUGGCCUGAGAGGAUGAUCAGCCACACUGGGACUGAGACACGGCCCAGACUCCUACGGGAGGCAGCAGUGGGGAAUAUUGGACAAUGGGCGCAAGCCUGAUCCAGCCAUGCCGCGUGAGUGAUGAAGGCCCUAGGGUUGUAAAGCUCUUUCACCGGUGAAGAUAAUGACGGUAACCGGAGAAGAAGCCCCGGCUAACUUCGUGCCAGCCGCCGCAGUAACAC